AAUUACUUCAGACCAGAGCUUCAAGCACUCUUCAAGUAGGAUUCAGGCUUUAGCUAUUGUAUAAUUCUUCCCCUAAUGUUGAAAGAAAACUGUUUUUGCGAUCUAAAUGGUAUAUUUGAGCUCUAGUUAUUAUUAGCAGGUUUUAGAUAUUAACCGUAACAUAUAUUAUAGCUUUACUGUAAAUACUGAGCGUAGACAGCGAAGCAUUUCACUCUAGAGUUUGGAAAAUCAAUCAAAAGUGUGCAAUCAAAUUUGUUCUGAUAAGUUUGAUAAGAGCGAUAUUAUGAUCACCGAAUAAACUGGUUGAAGGCAAAUAAGACCAAAUGCUGAGCCUCAAAUAGAUACUACCAUUUUUGCUGGGGCCUUAUCAUGCAGCAUAGUAAGAUAAUUCUCAUUUUCUGAUCUUUCAAUAGUUGGAUAUUUAUUGGCUCAAGAAGUCCUAUCAGAAAAAGAAAGAAGUAUGUUAAUGAGGUAUAAUAAUGAUAUUAUGUAGAAAUUUAAGUCUCAUAAAAAUUUGGGAACAAAGAAAAUAAAAAAUACAUACUUUGCAAAUGGGUCUAAGAAGAUUGAAAAAUAAAAUAACAUCAAUGCAUCAAUUAAUUGACUACUUAAAAGAAAAAUCUUUGAUAAGUGAAUCAUCUGAAUUGACCAUAAAGGUAUAAAUAUAGGCUUCCCUAGCUGGGCCAGCACAAAGUAUUUUUGAAAGAAUGUUAAAAGGACCUGCCACACAAAAAUCCAAUCCUCUGCUACUGUCCUUUGCUUUAACAUUGUCAUUUUAUUCACCGAAAACAUAGAAUUUUAUAAGGGAUACAUAAACUGGCCCAAUAUUUUUGAUAUUUUUAACUCUCAGAAUGGAUUUACAAAAUAUUCAUAUAAAAAAUUAUCAAAAUAUAAGAACAACAUACUUUUUAAUAAUUUUGAAAUAAUUUAAUUGUAUAUUAUUGGACUUACUUUAAAAGAAAGGCCAA